ensembl:lncRNA
UCAGUCCAGCGAAUUCAAGCACUCUCAAAAACUCCCAUAAUAAUCUCUAAAGCUGUUUACACUGUUAAAUGAAUAUCUUACUUACAUCUUCACUUAUUUCUGAUGAAAUAAUUAGCCAGAGAAUUCAGUCAGCCAGCGCGCGCGGUGAUGAAACGAUGUCUCAUCUGAACGCCUCUGAUUGGUCCUUGCAUUCAUGAACUCAACAUAAUCGUAUGUGAUUGGUUAUAAUGCGCAGCACUUUAAAAACGCGUGUGGCUCUGGCUCUGGCGAACGCAGAUUUGAAUUUAGCAGCUUGUGAUGGUUUCCCCUUUUACGUAGCCUAUAGUUUACAGGACAAAUAUUUCACAUAAAAUUGUUUGGUGUGAUAUCGUUCCAAAUUUAUUUGUUUUAUGUGUUAUGUGUUAUGACUGCGGAUGUCGACAACUUGACUAGGCACCUCAUAAACACCAUUCAUGUGUGUGUGUUUUCUUUACAGGUUUUUACGUUGUUAAAAAACUCGCUCACGCUUUUAAAAAAUGCGCUCGAGACUCGCGCUCUGUUGCGUUCCAUUUUGGAACGUUCGUGCAUCCCGAUGACGUCACAGUCCCUUAUAACCGCGCGCUCGCAGACAGUCUUCACAGUUAGUGACGGUGAGAAUCUGAGCGAGUUUGCGGAGUGCCAGAGAAAAUCUACAUACGAAAGUCUGCAGACACAAACACACAGUGUACAGACUAAAGUUAAGUCCACUCUCAGCGUCACGAUGCGGCCAGCAUCUGAGUCCGUGUCUAAUGAGACAGAAGCGGCUGCGUGGCUGGAUAACAUCAGCUUCUGCAGCGGCUUCUGUGAGUGGAUCGACGAAGAGUUGAUCGAUUCACUGCCAGCUGACUCCCAGCCGCCUGUCGAGUCGAAAAGAGCUUCAGAAGCAGUGAGUGCACAGCCUUGUGCUGAGAAAAGCCCGACAGAGAUUCCUCCUCGAGGCAACAGGAGGAGCAGAAUCCAUGCGUUCUUCAAGAGAGCCUGGAAGGCCGUGAAGAAGCCGUUCCUCCGCUGCAGACGGACACGAGUCGAGUCUGUCCCGGGACCCUCUGAGCUCCAGAACGUGCCUGACACCGAGCCCACAUCUGCCCCAGAUCUCCCCGACUGGAGGCCAACUACCAAAUCUUUGCACAAAUUGUACACACUGCAAGAUCUGAUAGGAACAGGAAGCUACGGCAAGGUGUUCAAGGCAGUCCGAAAAUCAGACGGCCGAGAGGUUGCCAUCAAAAGAACGCAGAAAUGGAGCAACUACUGUUCUCUUCAGAUUGUGAGUUGGCAAAGAGUAAAGAACACGUUUGGUUGUUUAAAGCUAUCUAACCGCUGGUGGUCUUGUCCUGUCCUCUAG